rnacentral:rRNA from 1 species
GACGAACCGUGCGAACGUUAUUCGGAAUCACUGGGCUUAAAGCGCGUGUAGGCGGGGCGGCACGUCGGCCGCUGAAAGCCCCCGCUCAACCGGGGAAGCGGCGCCGAUACGACCGCCCUGGAGGGACGUAGGGGGACCUGGAACUUCCGGUGGAGCGGUGAAAUGCGUUGAGAUCGGAAAGGAACGCCCGUGGCGAAAGCGAGGUCCUGGACGUCCGCUGACGCUGAGACGCGCAAAGCCCAGGGGGAGCGAAACGGG